rnacentral:rRNA from 1 species
CCUACGGGUGGCAGCAGUAGGGAAUAUUGCUCAAUGGGGGAAACCCUGAAGCAGCAACGCCGCGUGGAGGAUGAAGGUUUUCGGAUUGUAAACUCCUUUUGUUAGAGAAGAUAAUGACGGUAUCUAACGAAUAAGCACCGGCUAACUCCGUGCCAGCAGCCGCGGUAAUACGGAGGGUGCAAGCGUUACUCGGAAUCACUGGGCGUAAAGAGCGCGUAGGCGGGAUAGCAAGUCAGAUGUGAAAUCCUAGGGCUUAACCAUAGAACUGCAUUUGAAACUGUUAUUCUAGAGUAUGGGAGAGGUAGGUGGAAUUCUUGGUGUAGGGGUAAAAUCCGUAGAGAUCAAGAAGAAUACUCAUUGCGAAGGCGACCUGCUAGAACAUAACUGACGCUGAGGCGCGAAAGCGUGGGGAGCAAACAGGAUUAGAUACCCUUGUAGUC